CCCAGGCAAGGCAGCGUGAUGCAUCCCGAGACAACAGGACUGGGAUAUCUACAUAACUGUUGUUUUGAACCAACACAUCACAUACAGGAGCACAUACCUGCAGAGUGGAAAGGAGGACCUCUAAGCCGCUGGAGGAGCUUAAGGUGGCCGUCAUACUUGGUCGACCUCGUCCUGUUCCAGUCAACAGAUGAACGAAUCAAAAGAGUGACAGAAAGGCAACCACCUCAGUUUCCAGGAGGAGCAGGCUGCAGUACCAUUGGUGCAGCACUAGAUUUGAAGAUACCAAGAACUGUGGAGAAAGAGCCGCUGACCAGAAUAAACGCCUGACUGACCAAUUAGGUAGCACAGCCCAUAACUACUUCACAGGUUCUCUGAAUAUCAAGCCGGAUGUUCUGUCCCGCCAAUUCGCCAGCGACACCGAUCACUGACAAGGGGAGACCAUCUUACCCGCCACCUGCAGGAUGGGUUUAAUUUCCUGGGACGUGGAGAAGACAAUUCGCCAGGCCCUCCAGGAUGAACCUGAUCCUGGCACUGGAUGGCCUGACCGCCUCCUCAGCCCGUUCCACAGCAAUCAACUGGAUCAACACUGCUAGGUUUGCCUGUCAUCCCAGCAUAGGUAGGACCAUUUCAUUAUUAAAAUGGUACUUCUGGUGGGAGACCCUGGAAA